UACGGGGGGGGCAAGCGUUGUUCGGAAUUACUGGGCGUAAAGGGCUCGUAGGCGGCCCACUAAGUCAUACGUGAAAUCCCUCGGCUUAACCGGGGAACUGCGUCUGAUACUGGAUGGCUUGAGUUCGGGAGAGGGAUGCGGAAUUCCAGGUGUAGCGGUGAAAUGCGUAGAUAUCUGGAGGAACACCGGUGGCGAAGGCGGCAUCCUGGACCGACACUGACGCUGAGGAGCGAAAGCCAGGGGAGCAAACGGG
rnacentral:rRNA from 1 species